AACGCACGAGACCUGCGGACCUGCGGAGGGAUCAUUAAUGAGAAACUGCCCCUCGCGGGUAGAUCUCCCACCCUUUGUAGACUUACCUUUGUUGCUUUGGCAGGCCCGUCUCCGGACCGCCGGCUUCGGCUGGCCAGUGCCUGCCAGAGGAUUCUAAAACUCUGUCUGUCAGUGUUGUCUGAGUCUAUAUACAAUCGUUAAAACUUUUAGCAACGGAUCUCUAGAUCGGAAGAGCACACG
rnacentral:misc_RNA from 1 species